GGCUAAGUGGCAGAGUGGUGAUGCAGCGGCCUGCAAAGCCGUCAACGCCGGUUCGAUUCCGACCUUAGCCUCCA
rnacentral:tRNA from 1 species